UAGAAGCAUGCAUACUGUCCACGGGCAUA
rnacentral:sRNA from 1 species